rfam:Brassica napus, WGS project CCCW01000000 data, contig: 789
GGAAUAUAAGAAUCUGUCUCUUAACUUUUAACUAGAAAAGCUAAGAACCGGUUUUUAAAUAAGAGUUUUAAGAACCGGUUCUUAACUUUAAAAGUUAAGAGACGGAUUUUUAUAUUCC